rnacentral:rRNA from 1 species
UACGAAGGGGGCUAGCGUUGUUCGGAAUUACUGGGCGUAAAGCGUGCGCAGGCGGUUUGGCAAGUCAGAUGUGAAAUCCCCGAGCUCAACUUGGGAACUGCGUUUGAAACUGCCAGACUAGAAUAUGUCAGAGGGGGGUAGAAUUCCACGUGUAGCAGUGAAAUGCGUAGAGAUGUGGAGGAACACCGAUGGCGAAGGCAGCCCCCUGGGUCAAGACUGACGCUCAUGCACGAAAGCGUGGGGAGCAAACAGG